rnacentral:rRNA from 1 species
ACCCGCUGGACUUAAGCAUAUCACUAAGCGGAGGAAAAGAAACUAACUAGGAUUCCCCCAGUAACUGCGAGUGAAGAGGGAAGAGCUCAUCAUUGGAAUCUGGCAGCGUUGCGCUGUCCGAGUUGUAGAUGAGAAGAGUAGGUCAUCUGGACUGCGUGGUGUCCAAGUACAAUAGGCCGUCAGUGGGACAUCAUAGAGGGUGACAAUCCCGUCCUUGACAACCAACGUACGAGUCCAUUACGAUGCCUAUCUCAGAGAGUCGAGCAGUUUGGGAUUUGCUGCUUAAACAUGGGAGGUAGAUUCCUUCUAAAGCUAAAUACAGGCAAGAGACCGAUAGAGAACAAGUACCGCAAGGGAAAGAUGAAAUAGAACUCUGUGAAGGGAGUCAAAAAGACGUGAAAUUGUUGCGAGAGAAGCGAUUCAAGUCAGCGUAGCUAGGCCCAUCAAGCUUCUUGCUUUGGACUAGCUUUGCCAGCGGUCUUGUCCUUUUAGAGACUUGACUUUUGACGUGCCCUGUCCGGUCUAACGGGCAGGCCCUUCGGGGCCAGUGGCAUGGCUGGUGGAAUGGCUUGCAAUCGACCCGUCUUGAAACACGGACCAAGGAGUCUAACAUGUGUGCGAGUAUAAGGGUGGCAAACCCGUAUGCGCAAAGAAAGUGAUAGCCUUUUAUGGCUGAGAAUGGCCUGAUGACCAGACAAGCAAUAUUAUGUUCCUCGUACGGUCAUUGCCCAAGUCCCGUGGUCAGAUCCCAUGGACAUGGAGUUAGAGCAUACAUGCUAGGACCCGAAAGAUGGUGAACUAUGCCUGGACAAAGCGAAGCCAAAGGAAACUCUGGUGGAGGCUUGUAGCGAUUCUGACGUGCAAAUCGAUCGUCUGAUCUGGGUAUAGGGGCGAAAGACUAAUCGAACCAUCUCAUAGCUGGUUCCUGCCGAAGUUUCCCUCA